GGCCCCUUAGCUCAGUGGUUAGAGCAGUCGACUCAUAAUCGAUUGGUCAUGUGUUCUUAUUUGGGGUU
rnacentral:tRNA from 1 species